UGCCUCCUAUGGUAUGAGCGCCCU
rnacentral:piRNA from 1 species